UACGUAGGGGGCGAGCGUUGUCCGGAUUUACUGGGCGUAAAGCGCGUGUAGGCGGCUGCUUUAGUCGGGUGUGAAAGCCCGGGGCUCAACCCCGGGAUGCCGCCCGAGACUGGGCGGCUUGAGGUCGGAAGAGGGGAGUGGAAUUCCAGGUGUAGCGGUGAAAUGCGUAGAGAUCUGGAGGAACACCCGUGGCGAAGGCGGCUCCCUGGUCCGAUUCUGACGCUGAGACGCGAAAGCGCGGGGAGCGAACGGG
rnacentral:rRNA from 1 species